AGAGUUUGAUUAUGGCUCAGGAUGAACGCUAGCUACAGGCUUAACACAUGCAAGUCGAGGGGCAGCAUUGGGGUAGCAAUACCUCAGAUGGCGACCGGCGCACGGGUGAGUAACACGUAUCCAACCUGCCGCUUACUCGGGGAUAGCCUUUCGAAAGAAAGAUUAAUACCCGAUGGUAUAAAGAGUUCGCAUGUUCUCUUUAUUAAAGAAUUUCGGUAAGCGAUGGGGAUGCGUUCCAUUAGAUAGUUGGCGGGGUAACGGCCCACCAAGUCUACGAUGGAUAGGGGUUCUGAGAGGAAGGUCCCCCACAUUGGAACUGAGACACGGUCCAAACUCCUACGGGAGGCAGCAGUGAGGAAUAUUGGUCAAUGGACGAGAGUCUGAACCAGCCAAAGUAGCGUGAAGGAUGACUGCCCUAUGGGUUGUAAACUUCUUUUAUAAGGGAAUAAAGUGAGGGACGUGUCCCUUUUUGUAUGUACCUUAUGAAUAAGGAUCGGCUAACUCCGUGCCAGCCGCCGC
rnacentral:rRNA from 1 species